rnacentral:rRNA from 1 species
CCUACGGGGCGCAGCAGUGGGGAAUAUUGCGCAAUGGGGGAAACCCUGACGCAGCAACGCCGCGUGAGUGAAGACGUAUCUCGGUAUGUAAAGCUCUAUCAGCGGGGAAGAAGGAAGACGGUACCCGACUAAGAAGCCCCGGCUAACUACGUGCCAGCAGCCGCGGUAAUACGUAGGGGGCUAGCGUUAUCCGGAAUUACUGGGCGUAAAGGGUGCGUAGGUGGUUUCUUAAGUCAGAGGUGAAAGGCUACGGCUCAACCGUAGUAAGCCUUUGAAACUGGGAAACUUGAGUGCAGGAGAGGAGAGUGGAAUUCCUAGUGUAGCGGUGAAAUGCGUAGAUAUUAGGAGGAACACCAGUUGCGAAGGCGGCUCUCUGGACUGUAACUGACACUGAGGCACGAAAGCGUGGGGAGCAAACAGGAUUAGAUACCCGUGUAGUC